UCCUCUUCUCCAACGGUCCAAAGCGGCACGAGGCGGCCGCCGAGAUCCGCGAGGGCGCGCGCGGCCGGAGAGGGUCUGGGCGUGUUCCGGCUACAGUCGAGCGGCGCGUGGGGGUAUCGGGUGGUGCGGCGGAUGCGCACGGGCACGCACUGGGUGGCGGGGCGGACGCGCACCUCGACGACGACGACGACCGCAGGCGCUCCUUGACUCGGCGCCGACAAGAUCGACGGGAUCAAGCGCCUCCUCACCGCCCUCGUCGAAACCAGGUGGUCAAGAGAGAACGUGGCGGCGCGGUGGCCGGAGAUGAAGAAGCUCGUCUUGCUUCGCAGCUAACUACUAGGAUGCAUAGUAAUGAAUCUGAUUGGAGAUGUUAGAGGAUAAGUGGCUGAUAUGAUUGAUACAGCAGGAACUAUUGCCAAACGAGCUGAGCUGCUGCUGCGUCAAGGAGCAAGAGAAGUCUAUGCAUGCUAUACACAUGCUGGUUUUAGGGAAGGCCCAUCACCGCACCAAAUACGUAGUUACAGGCUUGUUCCAUGGAGCUGAGUUUGAUGGAACCAAGAGUCUGCACCAAUUCGUGCAGGCAAUUCAGAAAGUGCGCACUGUGCUGUUAUAGUCAAACAUUGCCACCAACCAUCGAGAGAUUAUAAUUUGGUUUGUUUCAAGAAGUAAUCAUCACGAAAUCACGAACACUAUCCCUUCAAAGACGCGAAGACUUUACUAAGCGAGG